rnacentral:rRNA from 1 species
CCUACGGGAGGCAGCAGUAGGGAAUCUUCCGCAAUGGACGCAAGUCUGACGGAGCAACGCCGCGUGAGUGAAGAAGGUUUUCGGAUCGUAAAACUCUGUUGUAAGAGAAGAACAAAUUGUAGAGUAACUGCUACAGUCUUGACGGUAUCUUACCAGAAAGCCACGGCUAACUACGUGCCAGCAGCCGCGGUAAU